UACGGGGGGGGCAAGCGUUGUUCGGAAUUACUGGGCGUAAAGGCUCGUAGGCGGCCAACUAAGUCCGACGUGAAAUCCCAAGGCUUAACCUUGGAACUGCGUCGGAUACUGGAUGGCUUGAAUCCGGGAGAGGGAUGCAGAAUUCCAGGUGUAGCGGUGAAAUGCGUAGAUAUCGUGAGGAAUCACCGGUGGCGAAGGCGGCUACUCGUCG
rnacentral:rRNA from 1 species